rfam:Shewanella benthica KT99 1099576005631, whole genome shotgun sequence.
GUUAUAGUCCGAAAAUCGCUUCGUAUAAUCCCAAUGAUAUGGUUUGGGAGUUUCUACCAAGAGCCUUAAAUUCUUGAUUAUGAAGUCUGUAACUUUAAGU